GACGAACGCUGGCGGCGUGCUUAACACAUGCAAGUCGAACGGAGUACCCUUGAUUGAGGCUUCGGCCAAUUUCUUGGACUACUUAGUGGCGGACGGGUGAGUAACACGUGAGUAACCUGCCCUUGAGUGGGGAAUAACACACCGAAAGGUGUGCUAAUACCGCAUAACAUAACGGAAUCGCAUGUUUCUGUUAUCAAAGAUUUAUUGCUCAAGGAUGGGCUCGCGGCCGAUUAGAUAGUUGGUGAGGUAACGGCUCACCAAGUCGACGAUCGGUAGCCGGACUGAGAGGUUGAACGGCCACAUUGGGACUGAGAUACGGCCCAGACUCCUACGGGAGGCAGCAGUGGGGAAUAUUGGGCAAUGGGCGCAAGCCUGACCCAGCAACGCCGCGUGAAGGAAGAAGGCCUUCGGGUUGUAAACUUCUUUUACCAGGGACGAAGAACGUGACGGUACCUGGAGAAAAAGCAACGGCUAACUACGUG
rnacentral:rRNA from 1 species